rnacentral:rRNA from 1 species
AGAGUUUGAUCCUGGCUCAGAUUGAACGCUGGCGGCAUGCCUUACACAUGCAAGUCGAACGCGAAAGCGGGGCAACCCGCAAGUAGAGUGGCGCACGGGUGAGUAACACGUAACUAACUUCCCCUCUCGCUGGGGAUAACUCCGGGAAACCGGAGCUAAUACCGAAUGCGCCCCGAGAGACUAUGGUCUCUUUGGGCAGAGCCUUACGGCGCGAGAGGAUAGGGUUGCGGCCUAUUAACUAGUUGGUGGGGUAACGGCCUACCAAGGUGACGAUAGGUAGCUGGUCUGAGAGGACGAUCAGCCACACUGGAACUGACACACGGUCCAGACUCCCACGGGAGGCAGCAGUUGGGAAUUUUGGACAAUGGGCGCAAGCCUGAUCCAGCCACGCCGCGUGAAUGAUGAAGGCCUUCGGGUCGCAAAGUUCUUUUAGUUGGGACAAAGGGAAACUUGAUGGUACCAACAGAA